AGCGCGGGCUCUAGUAGUUGCAGUACGCAGGCUUAGUUGCUCCUUGGCAUGUGGGAUCUUCAUGGACCAGGGCUCGAACCCAUGUCCUCAUCGAUGGCAGGAGGAUUCUUAACCACUGCACCACCAGAAUUUAUCAUCUUGGGGACUUCCCUGGUGGCAAAGUGGUUAUGAAUCCACCUGCCAAGGCAGGGGACGUGGGUUCGAUCCCUGGUCUGGGAAGAUCCCACAUGCCAUGGAGCAGCUAAGUCUGUGCGCUACAGCUACUGAGCCUACGCUCUAGAGCCGGUGAACCACAACUACUGAGCCCGUGAGCCACAACUACUGAGCCCGUGAGCCACAACAACUACUGAGCCCACGCCCCAGAGCCCGUGCUCCACAGCAAGAGAAGCCACCGCAAUGAGAAGCCCACGCACAGCAACAAAGAGUAGACCCCAUUUGCCACAUCUAGAGAAAGCCCGUGCGCAGCAACGAAGACCCAAUGCAGCCAAAAAUAAAUAAAUUAAUUAAAAUAAAUAAAUUUAUCAUCUUGUGGCUGUAGGAUUGAGGUCCCCAUUUUCUUGCUGGCUGUCAGCAGAGGGCAGCUCUCAGAGCAUAGCCAUGGGGGCUUCUCCAAAGGCCCUCUUACAAUAUGGCAGCUUACUUUGUCAAAGCCUGCAAGCAGUCUAGCCAACUCUUACAGCUCUCAACUUUGGCAGUUGAUUGAUUUAUUUUUUUAAUUUUUAAUUUUAUUUUUAUUAUUAUUAUCAUCUUUUUUUUGGCUGCUCCAGGUGGUAUGUGGGGAUCUUAGUUCCCUGACCAGGGAUCAAAUUCAUGCCCGCUGCAGUGUAAGUGCGGAGUCUUAACCACUGGACCUCCAGGGAAAUCCCUGAUAGUUGAUUUAUAUUUUUUUAUACCACUACACAACUGUUUCUUAUUAUAUGCAUUCACAUGUUCAAUACUUGCUUAGAAAUAAAUGAGUUAAGAGGAAGCAAACGGAGAACAAAUGAGUUCUUUAGCUAACACAAACCAGUUACAAAAUGGCCCCGAAGGGUAAGUUUUCACUCUGACAAUUUUUGAGUUAUUUUUAAUUAAUCUUACUACUUAAACUUUCCACACACAUAACUAUUUCAGAAACAGAAAAAACAAAGUUGCAAAUGCAGCAUGGCUGAGUAGGACCCAUUAAGAGGCACCAUGGUAAAGUUGAAUGGGAACUUCAGUAUAAAAACAUCACAAAUACCUCGACCCUUUUCCCUAGCUUUGAAAUAUGUCACAUCCACGAAAAACAAUUUCUGGGAGGGUAUAUGCACUUAGAUCAGCUAAUUUCUGUUAUGAGGUUUUUUUUUUUAUAUUA